GAUUAGACCUCAAUUUUGGGCAAACGCUUUACAUUUUCUAGAAGAAACUCCUGGUUAUCAUUUUGUUUUCCCGGAAACCAAAUCAAAGAACGGUAAAACUAUGGGCUGUUUGAUAUAUAUUUGUUCAUCUAAAAGAAAAUAUAACAAUAAAAGAUAGAAAAAACAACCCAGUAGUAAUAAUACGUACCACACAACUGGAAGGAAGAAGUUAGAUUUAAUAUGAAGCGUUGAAUCUCAUUCUGUUUACAGAACCAAUGAUUUUUCCAUCAAUGCAUGCCGCAUAGCUGAAGACAAAGUGGCCAUUGAUCUUCAAAAUGGAAGUUGUACCUUAUUUGAAGAAGCCAUCAAUAAAGAAAUUCUAGAGUCUGAAGUUGUUAUAAAGUGGCAGCAAUUUGAAGUUCAUCAACGGCCAAGAGGUGCCAUUCAUUAAAUAUUAGGAAGAGAAGCACCAUAGCAUUCUGCAUUCGUUAUUUUACAGAUGAAAAUCCUUGCAAUCAGCAGCUUCUCUAGGCAAGGGAGAUGGGGUAAUUAUUGAUGCAUACUUCAAAACCUUUGGCAGAAACUUUAGAUUCCUAUUUUUUAGCUUGUCAGUUUCUGCAUAAUUCUCUAGCAACAUGUAGAAGCUGAAAUUCUAGUAUGGAUUUCUUUGUAGUGGCACUUCCAGUUAAAACUUCCAUAUCACAUUUCACAAGAUAAGGCUUCAAUUUGGGGCAAAUGCUUUACAUUUUUUUUGGAAGAAACUCAAAGGUAGUCAUUUUUUCCACAUUGUGCGAGCGAACGUGUGAAUUAGAUUGGAAGAAAAUGUUGUUGAAUAUCAUUUGGCUUUUUCCAUCUCCGCAUUAAGCUGUUUAGAUGACAAUGACCUUCAUCACAAUGAUUCCCAUCCUACAUUUUGGAAGCAAUUGUCAACAUCAACAUCUAUGCACAACUGCUUUGAGGUAAGUUUGGGCAUCCACAGCUUGUGAGUUUAUGUUUAGAAAACCAAUUCUCUUGCAAAGUGUAGAAGCUAAAACUACAAGGGAUUAUGGGACUUCUUCAUAGUGGGAACUCACUAGAGAAUAAGAAAAAAAAUACAAAAUUAAGUAGGAAUCUUGGCAUUAAGUGCUCAAAUCAAGAGUGAAUACUUGCUGACGAGCUGGUAACUGCCAAAUAAUUAAGGCAGGCUGUUAAUUUAACUCACAAAGUUAAAACUCGUAGAUGAAGUUGAUCAAUGACAAUGCCCUCCAUCGAAAUUUCAUAUAUGAAGCU
rnacentral:misc_RNA from 1 species